AGCAGCCGCGGUAAUUCCAGCUCCAAUAGCGUAUAUUAAAGUUGUUGCAGUUAAAAAGCUCGUAGUUGAAUUUCGAGAUCAAUACGUCGGUCGUGCCUUCGGUACGUACUGGCGUUAUUGAUUUCUCCUUUCUGACGAACCACGAUGUCAUUAAUUUGGUGUUAUGGGGAGUUAGGACUGUUACUUUGAAAAAAUUAGAGUGUUUAAAGCAGGCAUACGCUUGAAUACAUUAGCAUGGAAUAAUGAAAUAGGACGUUCGAUCCUAUUUUGUUGGUUUCUAGGAUCGACGUAAUGAUUAAUAGGGAUAGUUGGGGGCAUUAGUAUUCAAUUGUCAGAGGUGAAAUUCUUGGAUUUAUUGAAGACUAACUACUGCGAAAGCAUUUGCCAAGGAUGUUUUCAUUAAUCAAGAACGAAAGUUAGGGGAUCGAAGACGAUCAGAUACCGUCGUAGUCUUAACCAUAAACUAUGCCGACUAGGGAUCGGAUGAUGUUAAUUUUAUAAUGACUCAUUCGGCGCCUUAAC
rnacentral:rRNA from 1 species